UACGUAGGAGGCGAGCGUUGUCCGGAGUUACUGGGCGUAAAGGGUGCGCAGGCGGUGGUGCGCGUGGAUAGAUGAAAUCUCCUGGCUUACCUGGGAGGAUGGUGUCCAGACGGCAUCACUUGAGGGUCGGAGAGGGGCGUGGAAUUCCGGGUGGAGCGGUGAAAUGCGUAGAGAUCCGGAGGAACACCGACGGCGUAGGCAGCGCCCUGGACGACACCUGACGCUGGGGCACGAAAGCUGGGGGAGCGAACAGGAUUAGGAAACCCU
rnacentral:rRNA from 1 species